GUAGGCAAACUGAUGUGGGUCCAGUGUGGAUGGCAGAGAGUCUUUUAGAUGUGCCAGGACCAACCGCUCGAAGCACUUCAUGAUGAUGGGUGUGAGUGCUACAGGCCGGUAGUCAUUCCGGCAUGUUGGGCUGAAGUGUUUGGGCACUGGCACAAUGGAGGUGGUUUUAAAGCAUGUUGGCACAGCUGCUAGGUUGAGCGACAGGUUGAAAAUGUCUGUGAAUACCUCAGCGAGCUGUUCUGCACAUACUUUGAGGACACGCCCAGAAAUACCAUCUGGUCCAGCAGCCUUACGCCUAUUGAUAUGACUCAGUGCGUUGUGUACUUCUGAGGAGGUGAGAGUGAUAGGUGAGUGGUCGGUGGAGGAAGUGAUCCUGGUGUAGGGUUCUUUAUUGUCUCUAUCAAAGCGGGCAUAAAAGUCAUUUAGCUCGUUCAGGAAGGAGACAUCAGUGGCUGUGGGUGUGGACUGGCUGGGUUUGUAGUGGCCUGGAUGCCUUGCCACAUACACCGAGGAUCAGAGUUGGAAAGUGCUCCUCUAGCUUAAGCUUGUAGCAGUGCUUGGCCUUUUUGAUUGCCCCUCUUCAGAUUAUCCCUGGAAGUGCUGUAGGCCUGUGCAUUCCAUGAUCUGAAGGCAGUGUUGCGUGCCUUCAGCAGGAGGCACACCUCCUUGUUCAUCCAUGGCUUCUGAUUCGUGUAUGUGGUGAUUUGUUUCUGGGUUGUAACACUGUCUAUGGUGGUGUUGAUAUAUUCCAGAACAGAGGAAGUGUAACUGUCAAUAUCUGUGUGAGAGCCAUGUGUGGCCUGGGAAGCAAACAUACCCCAGUCUGUGCGUUGAAACCUGUCCUGGAGUGUGGAGUCUACCCCCGCUGGCCACACUUUGAUGGUCCCCACUGAUGGCUUCACACGGUCGAUGAGGGGAACUGAGGUCCCACUGGUGCAGGAUCUUGAGGUGGUGGUGGUGGUGUCGCUGCACUUGAAAUUUUGCUGUGGACAGUUUGGGCGUGUGGAGUGUGUGAAUUUAGUGUGCAGGUGUGGUGUGUGUGUGUGGAAGUGUGCUUUUUGAACAAUAUGAAGCACUGGUGAUCCCUCCUAUGUGUGACCUCAGCCCUGUAAGUUAGUUUAUUCAAUUUAUUUCUCCGGUUAAUUUAGUUUUCAUAUUUACUUUGUAAUAACUUGUUGUUGUUGUUGUUUUCUAUAAAUUCAUUUUCUUUAUUUUUUUUAUUUACUGCAGUUACAUUGGAGGGAGGUGUUGGCAGAAAGUUCAGAGAAUUUUAUGUGACUAUUUUAAUCUGCCACAAAUUCUGGAAAUAAAUUUUGUACUUUUAUACUAUA